UCUACUUGUGAUUUCUGUCUGUCAAAUAAACAAAUAAAAAAAUCUUAAAAAAAAUACUGAGUUGCAAUAAAGAAAGUCUAACAGCAAAAAAUAAACCCCAAUUUUAUGUAACCUAAUCAUGAAAAUGACAUCCCAUCCGCAUGCUGUAUUCUGUUGGCUAGAUGAAAGUCAUAGGCCCCACCCACUCUCAAGGGGAGGGUAUUGUACAAAGUGUGACUACCAGGAGUCAUUUUAGAUUGCUUGCCAACCUGGGUUGCAGUCAGACCUGCCUACCUCCGAAACCAAAGACACUGCAAAUGGUUGCCUGGAGAUUCCAGUGCUAGGUAAACAACUCAGCCAGAGAAAUAAGUAUUAAUGGGUGUGUUUGGCACAAAUUGUAAAUGAUUCAGUGUUUUACAAAUGGGUCGUCACUGGGAUUUUGUUAUGUAUCAAGACCGGCAUCCUGCAUAGAGCCUGCAAAGGAGGUCCUCAGCAGACUGUUCACAUGAAAAGAUUUUGGCUUCAAAAUCUAGCUUAAGUUGACUCGUCCUAUUGCCCGCCUUUUACAACAAAUAUUUUAUAAAAUCCUUCAUCCUGAAAUGAAAUCCAUAAAUAGAAUUUCAGGGCAUUUCAAUUUCAGAGCAUCAAUGUGACUCAACAGAAGGAUAAAAAGAGAGUUAACUUAUAAUAAAAAUAACGUGUUUCCAUAUGUAGAGAUCCUAAAAUGAAGUGGUUAGGCACUUGCUUCUGAAUUUAAAGUCACCAUUAAUGAGACAGCUGUAAAUGCAGGCUGUUGCUUGAUACUGGUGUGUGUAAUUAAUUAAGGUACCCAGAUCCUACAGUUAGCCAUUGGUGAUGUGAUUUUCCAGGAGGAUGAGCAAUUUUUAGAAACAUUCUGAAUAAUACAAAGUAAAAACUCAUUCUAUGUUUUACACAGUAAUUACAUUCCUAGAAAAUUAAGUGUGUGUUCAAAUUGUACCAAAAAAACAAACAAAACCUCAUUUUGAAAUGAGUUUAGGCCGAGGUCUUUAUAAAUAAGGUUUUCAUCUACAAGUAUGUCAUAUGGGACAUUUGGGAUGUGUGAAGGCCACACUCAGUAGAAUGAGUGGCUGGGACCUGGCACCACCCCCUAUAACUCUCCCCCAAUGGCAGGAAUGCCCCCCAAUUAUUUCAA